rnacentral:rRNA from 1 species
GAUGAACGCUGGCGGCGUGCCUAAUACAUGCAAGUCGAGCGAAUGGAUUAAGAGCUUGCUCUUAUGAAGUUAGCGGCGGACGGGUGAGUAACACGUGGGUAACCUGCCCAUAAGACUGGGAUAACUCCGGGAAACCGGGGCUAAUACCGGAUAACAUUUUGAACCGCAUGGUUCGAAAUUGAAAGGCGGCUUCGGCUGUCACUUAUGGAUGGACCCGCGUCGCAUUAGCUAGUUGGUGAGGUAACGGCUCACCAAGGCAACGAUGCGUAGCCGACCUGCGAGGGUGAUGGGCCACACUGGGACUGAGACACGGCCCAGACGCCGACGGGAGGCAGCAGUAGGGAAUCUUCCGCAAUGGACGAAAGUCUGACGGAGCAACGCCGCGUGAGUGAUGAAGGCUUUCGGGUCGUAAAACUCUGUUGUUAGGGAAGAACAAGUGCUAGUUGAAUAAGCUGGCACCUUGACGGUACCUAACCAGAAAGCCACGGCUAACUACGUGCCAGCAGCCGCGGUAA